rnacentral:rRNA from 1 species
GCAGUCGAGCGGAACGAUGGUAGCUUGCUACCAGGCGUCGAGCGGCGGACGGGUGAGUAAUACUUAGGAAUCUACCUAGUAGUGGGGGAUAGCUCGGGGAAACUCGAAUUAAUACCGCAUACGACCUACGGGAGAAAGGGGGCAACUUGUUGCUCUCGCUAUUAGAUGAGCCUAAGUCGGAUUAGCUAGAUGGUGGGGUAAAGGCCUACCAUGGCGACGAUCUGUAGCUGGUCUGAGAGGAUGAUCAGCCACGCCGGGACUGAGACACGGCCCGGACUCCUACGGGAGGCAGCGAGUGGGGAAUAUUGGACAAUGGGGGCAACCCUGAUCCAGCCAUGCCGCGUGUGUGAGAGAAGGCCUUUUGGUUGUAAAGCACUUUAAGCAGUGAAGAAGACUCCGUGGUUAAUACCCACGGACGAUGACAUUAACUGCAGAAUAAGCACCGGCUAACUCUGUGCCAGCAGCCGCGGUAAUACAGAGGGUGCGAGCGUUAAUCGGAAUUACUGGGCGUAAAGCGAGCGUAGGUGGGUUGAAAAGUCAGAUGUGAAAUCCCCGGGCUUAACCUGGGAACUGCAUCUGAUACUGUUAGGCUAGAAGAGGUGAGAGGAAGGUAGAAUUCCCGGUGUAGCGGUGAAAUGCGUAAAGAUCUGGAGGAAUAAC